UGGGGAAUUUUGGACAAUGGGCGAAAGCCUGAUCCAGCAAUGCCGCGUGUGUGAAGAAGGCCUUCGGGUUGUAAAGCACUUUUGUCCGGAAAGAAAUCCUUGGCUCUAAUACAGUCGGGGGAUGACGGUACCGGAAGAAUAAGCACCGGCUAACUACGUGCCAGCAGCCGCGGUAAUACGUAGGGUGCAAGCGUUAAUCGGAAUUACUGGGCGUAAAGCGUGCGCAGGCGGUUUGCUAAGACCGAUGUGAAAUCCCCGGGCUAACCUGGGAACUGCAUUGGUGACUGGCAGGCUAGAGUAUGGCAGAGGGGGGUAGAAUUCCACGUGUAGCAGUGAAAUGCGUAGAGAUGUGGAGGAAUACCGAUGGCGAAGGCAGCCCCCUGGGCCAAUACUGACGCUCAUGCACGAAAAGCGUGGGGAGCAAACAGGAUUAGAUACCCUGGUAGUCCACGCCCUAAACGAUGUCAACUAGUUGUUGGGGAUUCAUUUCCUUAGUAACGUAGCUAACGCGUGAAGUUGACCGCCUGGGGAGUACGGUCGCAAGAUUAAAACUUAAAGGAAUUGA
rnacentral:rRNA from 1 species